rnacentral:rRNA from 1 species
UACAGAGGGCUCAAGCGGUGUUCGGAUUCAUUGGGCGUAAAGGGCGCGUAGGCUGCGGGGCAAGUCGGGGGUGAAAUCUCAGAGCUCAACUCUGAAACUGCACUCGAUACUGCUUUGCUCGAGGACUGGAGAGGAGAUUGGAAUUCACGGUGUAGCAGUGAAAUGCGUAGAUAUCGUGAGGAAGACCAGUGGCGAAGGCGGAUCUCUGGACAGUUCCUGACGCUGAGGCGCGAAGGCCAGGGGAGCAAACAGG